rnacentral:rRNA from 1 species
GAUGAACGCUGGCGGCGUGCCUAAUACAUGCAAGUCGAGCGAACAGACGAGGAGCUUGCUCCUCUGACGUUUGCGGCGGACGGGUGAGUAACACGUGGAUAACCUACCUAUAAGCCUGGGAUAACUUCGGGAAACCGGAGCUAAUACCGGAUAAUAUAUUUAACCGCAUUGUUCAAUAGUGAAAGACGGUUUUGCUGUCGCUUAUAGAUUGAUCCGCGCCGCAUUAGCUAGUUGGUAAGGUAACGGCUUACCAAGGCAACGAUGGGUAGCCGACCUGAGAGGGGGGUAGGCCACACUGGAACUGAGACACGGUCCAGACUCCUACGGGAGGCAGCAGUAGGGAAUCUUCCGCAAUGGGCGAAAGCCUGACGGAGCAACGCCGCGUGAGUGAUGAAGGUCUUCGGAUCGGAAAACUCUGUUAUUAGGGAAGAACAAAUGUGGAAGUAACUAUGCACGUCUUGACGGUACCUAAUCAGAAAGCAACGGCUAACUACGUG